UGGUCAAGUUAUUAAGGGCGCAGGGCGGAUGCCUUGGCACUAAGAGCCGAUGAAGGACGCGAUAAGCUGCGAUAAGCUUCGGGGAGUUGCACGU
rnacentral:rRNA from 1 species